rnacentral:rRNA from 3 species
UUUUUUUGAGAGUUUGAUCCUGGCUCAGGAUGAACGCUGGCGGUGUGCCUUAGGCAUGCAAGUCGAACGGUAACAGGUCUAGCUUGCUAGAUGCUGACGAGUGGCAGACGGGUGAGUAACACGUAGGAAUCUACCUAGUAGUGGGGAAUAGCUCGCCGAAAGGCGGGGUAAAACCGCAUACGUCCCGCAGCAAUGCGGGAGAAAGCAGUAAUGUGCUAUUAGAGGAGCCUGCGCGCUAUCAGCUAGUUGGUGGGGUAAUGGCCUACCAAGGCUACGACGGCUAGCCGAUGUGAGAGCAUGAUCGGUCACAAGGCUACUGAAACACGGAGCCUACACCUACGGGUGGCAGCAACCGGGAAUUUUGCGCAAUGGACGAAAGUCUGACGCAGCGACACCGCGUGUGGGAUGAAGGUCUUCGGAUCGUAAACCACUGUGGCGAGGGAGGAAUUUUGACAGUACCUCGCUAGAAAGCACCAGCUAACCACGUGCCAGAAGCUUCGGUAAUACGUGGGGUGCGAGCGUUAUCCGGAUUUACUGGGCGUAAAGGGUCCGUCGGCGACUUGAUAAGUUGCUUGUUUAAGCCUGAGGCUCAACUUCAGAUAAGCAAGCAAAACUGUCAGGAUAGAGUCUGUUCGAGGAAGUUGGAAUUCUUGGUGGAGGGGUGAAAUCCGUAGAUAUCAAGAGGAACACCACGCGCGAAAGCAUACUUCUAGGACAGUACUGACGCUCAGGGACGAAAGCUUGGGUAGCAAAGCGGAUUAGAGACCCGUGUAGUCCAAGCUGUAAACGCUCCUUGCUAGUUGCCUGAACCUUGUGUUUGGGUGGCGUAAGUUAACACGUUAAGCAAGGCGCCUGGGGAGUACGACCGCAAGGUUAAAACUCAAAGGAAUUGACGGGGGAGCGCACAACCGGUGGAGCAUGUGGUUUAAUUCGAUACAAAGCGAAAAACCUUACCCAGAUUUGACAUGUACCUGCACGGCUAUGGAAACAUAGCUUUCUUCGAGAGUGGUACACAGGUGAUGCAUGGCUGUCGUCAGCUCGUGUCGUGAGACGUCCACUUAAGUGUGGUAACGAGCGCAACCCUUGUCGUAUGUUACACGUAUCAUACGAGACUGCCUCUGCUUUGCAGGGGAGGAAGGAGAGGACGACGUCAAGUCAGCAUGUCCCUUACAUCUGGGGCUACACACAUCCUACAAUGGAGCCGACAGCGGGUAGCGACGGGGUGACCCCGAGCCAAUCCUCUAAACGGUCCCUCAGUUCAGAUUGCAGGCUGCAAUUCGCCUGCAUGAAGUCGGAAUCGGUAGUAAUCGCAAAUCAGCAGGUUGCGGUGAAUACGUUCUCGCUCCUUGUACACACUGCCCGUCAAGCCAGCAAAGUCAGCAACGCCCGAAGCGGGGAACCGUAACUCGUAAGAGAGCGGCCCCUCUACGGCGAGGUUGGCGAUGAGGACUAAGUCGUAACAAGGUAUCCGUACUGGAAGGUGCGGAUGGAUCACCUCCUUUCUAAGGAG